GAGGGAAAUAAUAUUUAUAAUGAUAAUAGCGCAUAAAAUAAAAUAAAAAAGAUGGCCGUCUUCGAGUUUUAUAUAAUCUUUUAUUCUUCGAAGGGACAAAAACUCGAGAGAAGGUUGAUUUCUUUAGAAUUAAUUGAAGGGGCUGGCUACGGCCGGAAACCUGUGCAAUAUAGGAUGGGUUAGACGGGCCGAAUGACGGACCUAAACGUCGAGCCGUAGAUGCACCACCUCCCUCUUCCGUCAACCAGAAAUCCAAUGGGCUUUGUGUUGGGCCUUUAUGGAGAAAAGGCUCAAAUCUGAAAACAAGUGGGACCCAGUGAUCGGAUUUUCUCACGUUUGCACUUUGUUGAGUUGAGAAGCGACAGGAGAAAGUGGAGAACACACUGAAGAAGAAUGACGAAGAAAAAACUGUCCCAAAACAGAUAAAAAGCAUCGGGUUAUUACACAUAAAAGUUAUGUAAUAUGUUUGUAAUCGGGGAUUACAAUUUCGACUUCAAUGGAGGAUCGGAGCAGAGGCUUCCUCGGAGAGGAUGGAUUCGUGAUCUACGUUUACAUUUUGCUCUACAUAGCGGUCAAAUCUUCCUUAACAAGCGGGUUUUGUCAUCGAAGGAAAUAAAGUUCCCUUAUCUGCUUGGCUUGACUUUAAUCCAUACGGAAUUUUCCCGGUCUUGUGCUUUCUUGUCUCCAAGUCUUCAAGUGUUUAUUCUUGGAGUAGCUGUGGGAGUUGAACUGUUGAUGUAAUGAGCUGCAGGAUGCUUUUGAAAGUUUCUGUAAUAUGUUUCGAUGUCCUAGUAGCCUCUUAUGGGGAAAGCAACAUCAGUUGGAUUUGAGUGGUUUACCAUCGGAGAAACCCGUGAGGCUAAUCUUCAUGUAAAUUUUCGUAAAGAGGAAGGGCUUCAAACUGGAUACAAUAUCUCUCAUGUUCUACGUGAGCCCCUGCAGGUUUUCCUUGUCAUCUCUCAUACGACUGCUCUCGCUAUCCCGGUUGCCAGUCUCAUCAAGAAUUAUGUCAGCUCUUCUGUUUGCUGACACAAUACAUGAUCAUCACCUCUUUUCGGCUACAGCAUUGCAAUCACCGAAGAAGGAAAACUCCAGAGGAAGGUGGAUCCACACGGUUGGUUUCAGUCUCUCGGCAACAACAGCUACAGAUAAUGUCGGAGAUUCGAGCAGCAUAUGAAACUGAAACAUCCUACCGAGGUAAAUGAGUAUUUGCUUGUUUCGCUUUGGAAGUUGUAUCUGUCAAAUUUUACUCUCAGAACAACGUUUCUUUAGAUGAUAACAUGGAGGGUUAUUUUAUUUACAAAUUACUAUCCGUAAUUUACAUUA